rnacentral:rRNA from 1 species
CUCACAGAAGAAGUCCUGGCUAACUCCGUGCCAGCAGCCGCGGUAAUACGGAGAGGGCUAGCGUUAUUCGGAAUUAUUGGGCGUAAAGGGCGCGUAGGCUGACUAAUAAGUUAAAAGUGAAAUCCCGAGGCUUAACCUUGGAAUUGCUUUUAAAACUGUUAAUCUAGAGAUUGAAAGAGGAUAGAGGAAUUCCUAGUGUAGAGGUAAAAUUCGUAAAUAUUAGGAGGAACACCAGUGGCGAAGGCGUCUAUCUGGUUCAAAUCUGACGCUGGGGCGCGAAGGCGUGGGGAGCAAGCAGGAUUAGAUACCCUGGUAGUCCACGCUGUAAACGAUGAAUGUUAAAUAUGGGAAAUUUAUUUUCUGUAUUACAGCUAACGCGUUAAACAUUCCGCCUGGGGACUACGGUCGCAAGAUUAAAACUCAAAGGAAUUGACGGGGACCCGCACAAGCGGUGGAGCACGUGGUUUAAUUCGAUGCAACGCGAAAAACCUUACCACUCCUUGACAUGGAAAUCAUACCUAUUCGAAGGGAUAGGGUCGGUUCGGCCGGAUUUCACACAGGUGUUGCAUGGCUAUCGUCAGCUCGUGUCGUGAGAUGUUGGGUUAAGUCCCGCAACGAGCGCAACCCUCAUCCUUAGUUACCAUCAGAUAAUGCUGGGGACUUUAAGGAAACUGCUAGUGAUAAACUGGAGGAAGGUGGGGAUGAUGUCAAGUCAUCAUGGCCCUUAUGGAGUGGGCUACACACGUGCUACAAUGGUGGCU